AGUUCUUCAAGGAAUAUCUGAUGGAUUAUCCAGAGGCAAAAAAUCCAAUGAGAUGGAGAUAUUGGUUAAAGAUCUCUGUAAGUCAAAUAUGAUCCAGCCACAAACUUCUGAUGAAAUUAACAAGGACAUCGUCUCGCACUUUGUACUUUGUCUAGUUUAUUGCCGAACAUAAGUUGUUACUGCUUAUUCCGUCAAUAAAACAGUCUUCUCUAAAUGGAUAUAAGCUUUAGUUCUUUGCAACCUGUUUCCUCAUUUGAUCAGGGAGGAAUUGAAAAAAUGGUUCCUUUCAAUGAAGACUACACUCUUUCAUUACCGAUUACGUAUUGAAAAAGCUGAAGCUCAAGUAAAUAUUAAUGCCUUAACAUUUCAUCGAUGUUGUGUCAUUAAUUGAUUUGCUAUUGCUCCAUUUUCUCAUAGAGAGCACUAUGGUGGAAUUUGAUCUUCCAUUCAAAGUGAUUUCAAAUACUGAACUGGAGAAUUUGAAGGAAAAACUUAACCAAGAGGCAAGGUCCAUGGGUUAAUCUCUAUCUACGGCUGGCUCGUGUCAACUAGAGAACGGUUUAAAGGGUGAUAUUGGUGGGUUUGUUAAAAUGAGUGGGGAGAAGAAUGGAAGUGAAGAAGUGAAGCACGUCCUUGAAAUGGUUGAGAUUUCUUCUUAUUAUACAUGAACGAUUAAACUUUACAAAAGAAACCUCAUUUCUUUUUUCGUUCUUCGGGCUAGAAGGGCUUCAUCUAGGAGGGAGAUUCUUACAUCUUAUUUUCUCACGCCACUUUUUCUUAAAGAGUUUGUUUUGAUGUUAGAGAAGUUAGUAGACAUCAAAGUAGUUGCACAAGGAGGAUAUCAUCAGGUUAAAUUACACAAUUUCUUAUGUUUCAGUUGUACAAUGAACAAUUUAUUAUUCAUCCAAAAUUGAUUCAUCAUAUAGCUUUCAACAUCAUAGGCAGAGUGCUGUCAGCUUUCAUUUGGGCAUCCUGAAGUUUUGACUUCUGAGCCUGAUAUUGUUGCGCUGUGCUGUGAGGUGGAUUUGGUAUUAUACCUAUAGUUUCUUAGAGUGUGUUAAAGGAUUGAUUAGAGCAAUAAUUUUGUUAUGUGAUUACAUUUACCAGUAUUUUAGGAAAUUUUGGGUUUCAACCAUGUUCUAAUGGCGACUUCCUCGAUUCAAUUCUCGCUACCGGGAUUGUAAGGGAGAAGUUGGGUGAUAUACUCUUGCAGGUACCAUCUCAAAUUUGUUUCUUGUUUCACCAUGAUGUGGUUUCAACAUCUUGUCAAAUAGCAUAAAAAUACACAUUCCAUUGAGAUCUUGUGAAUGCAUUUCAUCAUUUUUUCCCCUAUUUUCCUAAAUUUCUUUGGAACCUUAUUAUCUAUUAAGACAAAAAUGGAAGAGAUGAAGUUGGGUGUUGUAGAUCUGUCUCCCAGGCUCUUUUUCACCUUAGAGAUUGUAGAUAUUGCUUUGUUCCUCAUGAAAAUUUAUUGUUUAUGAGUUUCAUCAUUCAAUUAAACUAGAGAUAGGGUUAUUGAUUAUUUGGUUAGCCUACAUUAAAUUUGUGUAUAACUGUUGUAACUACUAUUGUGCUUAAAUUUAGAUUUGAUUUCCAUAAUCUCUUUAUGAUUUUUGUCCUACUGUCACUUUAGAUUAUUUUGUCCUAUUUAUAAUCUUCUGUUCUUGCUCCUUAGAUGUGUUUAAAAGCUUUAAUUUAGAUUACAUAACAUGAAUUUUAGGAGUUGUAUUUGUCAAUUUUAAAUAUAAUACAGAAGGCCAUUCAAGCAUACCAAGCUCUGAUUAUAUUUGGGAGAGGACACUACCUUUCUAUUCAAGGAAGUUUUACAAAUUCGAAUCCUGUUGAUAUCUAAGAUUAUGUUUAACUUUGCAAGUUUAUCAAUAUGUUUCAGUAAUUGAUUUAAGUAGAGAAGUGGUUGAAAGAUGAAAGAGGAGUCAUAUCUCUAUAGGAGUAGUUAUUGGAGUGUUGUUUUCUUUAUUGACACUCUUAUGUAUCAGAUAUCACAGAUUAUUUUAUGAUGUAAAGUUUUAAUA